AAGGUUGCCAAUUCUCAGGGCGCAAUGCUGCUCGUGGCAAAAUCUAAGGAUUGUGGGGGUAGAUUGGAGACGAUGCUACUCAAGAAAGAAUCUCAGGGAAGAUGCUUAUUCUCCACUGCUGCUGUGGUGGCCACAAAAUGCCAGUUUCACAUACCUUGCACAAAUACAAAGUGUCCUGGCCUUUUGCUGA